AACACACUUAUUCCUUUCCUUGGAAGCUUCUAGUAGUCGUCGGUGUUGUUCCUGCCCGACCUACUCAUCGGAGCCGGACUUGUUGUAGCCUCCGCUGUAGUCAUCGGUUCCUGACUUGCUGCUGCGGCCAUAGUCAUCGCCGCUGGACUUGUUGUAGCCUCCGUCAUAGUUGUCCGUGCUAGACUUGUUGUAGCCACCGCUGCCAUAGUCGUCAGUGUUGGAGGUGUUCUUACCGCUGCCAUAGUCGUCGGUGCUCGACUUGUUGUAGCCGCUGCCGCCGUAGCCAUCAGUGCUGGAGUUCUUGUAGCCACCAUCAUAGUCGUCAGAGCUUGGCUUCUUGUAUUCGUCGCUGGUGGUGGACUUGCUGUAUCCACCACUGCCACUGUAGUCAUCGGUGCCAGAUUUGUUGUAGUCGCUGCUUAGGUCAUUGGACUUGUAGCCACCAUCGUUUCUGUAGUCGUCGGUGCUGGACUUGUUGUAGCCACCCCCGCUACUGUAGUCGUCCGUGCUGGACUUGUAGCCGCCACCCCCGCUACCGUAGUCAUCGGUGCUGGACUUGUUGUAGCCACCAGCGUUACCGUAGUCGUUGGUGCUGGACUUGCUGUAGCCACCUUCGUCAACACUGGUGCUUCUGUAGCUGCUGCGAUCAUACUCAUCAGCCAUUUUAAGUUGUGAAGUAAAAUAUCACAAAAAUAAAUUGUAUGCUCAGUUCUGUGCAUCC
rnacentral:lncRNA from 1 species